GACUAUCGAUGAUUGUGUUGA
rnacentral:siRNA from 1 species